rnacentral:lncRNA from 1 species
CUGAGGUUUCAGAGUCUUGCGUCCUUGCAAAAGGUAUCCUUCCUGAACCCCAGGGGUUCAUCUGCACCCCACAACAGUAAUGGUGUAUUAACACGCCAAGAGAGUCCAAUAGAAGCUCAAGAAUUUCAGUUAAGUCUGGAUUUUCUCUAUAUUGUAUUUCGAAUGUCUUUCUUAGAUGGAAUAUAAAUCUUUGUAUAUACUUUAUAUAUACAUACAUAUACACAAAACAACUUUAGGUGCGUGCACAUUAAAUCUUUGCCACUAAAGUUUGACAUCACACUCUGCUGAAUUCCCAAGACAGAACUUGCUCUCAGAGUAUCUCUGUGGAGGAGCCAAAGGGAAGCGCCACCAUUCGUGGCUCUCUUUAGAGCUUCCAGCAUGGCGCCCGAGAUUUUCUUGUAUGCAGUGUUGCUGACCUUAUUGCUGCUAGCAAUAAGAGGCUGCAUUUUGGUCCCAGAGAUUCAGUCCUGUUUUGAUUUAGUGCUGGGAUUUCAAACUGUUUAAGCCCCGAGAACAUGGGGCUUCUCGGACUGCAGCCCUGACUGGUUGUUGCACAUGGACAGGAAAUAUUUGGGGGAAUGCUUCGUGAUUGAUGCUGGGAAAAGACUGAGCAAGUUAAGUGAUCGGCCUGAGCUUCUCGUGGAAGUGGAAGAGCUGGUUCUGGCAAAGCUGAUGUAAAGCCCACAGGUAAGAGUGAAGUGGAAGCCAAGAAAUAGGGGUGAAUAGCUCGGUGGAGCUUCUGGAGCCUUCAGGGCGGAGCUUCUGAACCAGCAACCCUCCCUCCCCUCCCCUCUCCUCGACUUAAGGAAGUGAAGAAAGGAUGGAAGUUAUAGAGGAAAGACAAUUGCGGAGACCUCGGCAGCGCGCAGUGUCUUUCUAGAUGGUUAGUGACGUUUGUAAGCACAAGGUAGGAUGUGGAGUCUCCCGGAAGCCCUCCCUAAGCCACCAGAAGGAUCCCAAACCAGAAAGGGCGCCGCACUCCUCAGAGCUCAGGCGUGCACGGGCUGGUCCGAGAAGACCCUUCCUGACGACCACCACCAGAUGUCUAAAAAUGGCGCUCUUAUUCCACUCUGAGAUCUACACAUCUCACGGACAGACAACGUCCCCCAACCGCAGCUCUUCCAUGAAACCAAUAAAACUCCAUCGUUUGUUAUUGGGGGAGAAACCUUUUACGGGAAACUGCCUUCUGGCCAUCGACCUUGCUAAGAAACCUCUGAUUUUAUUGGGAUGCUUGGUGAUUCAGAGAGCCCUAAUGGCCCAGCCAUUUCCUGGAGAUCUGCCCCCUGCCCCCAGCUGGGAGCUACCUAGUCAAUAG